GACGAACGCUGGCGGCGCGCCUAACACAUGCAAGUCGAACGAGCGAGAGAGAGCUUACUUUCUCGAGCGAGUGGCGAACGGGUGAGUAACGCGUGAGGAACCUGCCUCAAAGAGGGGGACAACAGUUGGAAACGACUGCUAAUACCGCAUAAGCCCACGGCUCGGCAUCGAGCAGAGGGAAAAGGAGCAAUCCGCUUUGAGAUGGCCUCGCGUCCGAUUAGCUAGUUGGUGAGGUAACGGCCCACCAAGGCGACGAUCGGUAGCCGGACUGAGAGGUUGAACGGCCACAUUGGGACUGAGACACGGCCCAGACUCCUACGGGAGGCAGCAGUGGGGAAUAUUGCACAAUGGGGGAAACCCUGAUGCAGCGACGCCGCGUGGAGGAAGAAGGUCUUCGGAUUGUAAACUCCUGUUGUUGAGGAAGAUAAUGACGGUACUCAACAAGGAAGUGGCGGCUAACUACGUGCCAGCAGCCGCGGUAAAACGUAGGUCACAAGCGUUGUCCGGAAUUACUGGGUGUAAAGGGAGCGCAGGCGGGAAGACAAGUUGGAAGUGAAAUCCAUGGGCUCAACCCAUGAACUGCUUUCAAAACUGUUUUUCUUGAGUAGUGCAGAGGUAGGCGGAAUUCCCGGUGUAGCGGUGGAAUGCGUAGAUAUCGGGAGGAACACCAGUGGCGAAGGCGGCCUACUGGGCACCAACUGACGCUGAGGCUCGAAAGUGUGGGUAGCAAACAGGAUUAGAUACCCUGGUAGUCCACACUGUAAACGAUGAUUACUAGGUGUUGGAGGAUUGACCCCUUCAGUGCCGCAGUUAACACAAUAAGUAAUCCACCUGGGGAGUACGACCGCAAGGUUGAAACUCAAAGGAAUUGACGGGGGCCCGCACAAGCAGUGGAGUAUGUGGUUUAAUUCGACGCAACGCGAAGAACCUUACCAAGUCUUGACAUCCUGCGACGCACAUAGAAAUAUGUGUUUCCUUCGGGACGCAGAGACAGGUGGUGCAUGGUUGUCGUCAGCUCGUGUCGUGAGAUGUUGGGUUAAGUCCCGCAACGAGCGCAACCCUUAUGGUCAGUUACUACGCAAGAGGACUCUGGCCAGACUGCCGUUGACAAAACGGAGGAAGGUGGGGAUGACGUCAAAUCAUCAUGCCCUUUAUGACUUGGGCUACACACGUACUACAAUGGCGUUAAACAAAGAGAAGCAAGACCGCGAGGUGGAGCAAAACUCAGAAACAACGUCCCAGUUCGGACUGCAGGCUGCAACUCGCCUGCACGAAGUCGGAAUUGCUAGUAAUCGCAGAUCAGCAUGCUGCGGUGAAUACGUUCCCGGGCCU
rnacentral:rRNA from 1 species